GAUCAUGGCUCAGGACGAACGCUGGCGGCGCGCCUAACACAUGCAAGUCGAACGAGAGAGAAGGAGCUUGCUUCUUCGAUCGAGUGGCGAACGGGUGAGUAACGCGUGAGGAACCUGCCUCAAAGAGGGGGACAACAGUUGGAAACGACUGCUAAUACCGCAUAAGCCCACGGGUCGGCAUCGACCUGAGGGAAAAGAAGCAAUCCGCUUUGAGAUGGCCUCGCGUCCGAUUAGCUGG
rnacentral:rRNA from 1 species